UUUAAAAUAAAUAAUAUUGAUAUAGUUUAAUUUAAUUCUUCAUAAUAACUAGAGUUUCAUUUUUUUCUAUAAUUGGGUCCUACUAAAUAAUUAAUUUGGAAAAUACAAUAGUUAUUUACAUAGAAGUCUUUAUACAAUUCAUCUCCUUUUCUUUCUCCCUCUUACACCCUUCAACUUCUCCUGCAACUUAUCCAUAAAAUCAGUUUUGAGUUUCAAAUAUAUAGCAUUACGCUCUCAAUCAAUAGUGGAUUCAAAAAUUUGAGGAAUUUGGGGAGGUUGCAGGUUCAAUAGACAUAUCUAAAGCUACUGUAGAUCUAAAUAUGAGAAUGAUCCAAUUAGAUCGAAAACAGUCAGUGGAAAAGCAAAGAGAAUUGGUGUAAUGAUUGUUGAGGGAGGUAUUAAGCAUCGGGGUGAUGCUAGUUCGACAAAGAAGAGGAAAGGAAAAGAAAUUGAUUCUUCUGAUAAACAUGUAGCCUAUUUUUAGAGGUGAUCUCUGUCAUACCGGAGCAAGUUGAACAUGAAGAAGUUCAGGGUGUUAAAUGUUUAGGCAAAAGAACAGCAACACGUACACCUCACAUGCAAUGUUAUACAAAUAUUGAGUAAUGGAUGUUUUAACUGGAAAACUACGAGAAACUCAGUAUAGACGUUUCUGUGGAACCACAUGUUUUGCUCAGUUGAUUAACAUUCGUAGAUGUCUAGGUGCAGUUUUUUAGGGAGAUUAUCGGCAGUUCUAAAGAUGCAAUUAUGAUACAUGUAAACGACACAUCUUUUGUUCAUAAGGACAGUACAAAAGGAUGAUUCUUGAGUACAUUAAUGAUUACAGAAUGCAUGUUUUUGUACCGUGUCAUACAGUUGAUAACAGUCUCAUUCUUGUUAACGUUAAGGACAAGUUUUACCGGGUCUUGAUUGUUGCAUCCAUUAAUGAUCGAGCUUUGAUUCUCUUGGUGGUGCAUUACACAAUUCAUAUGUUUAUAAUGAAAUCAAGAAAUAUGCGCAAGUUAAUUCCUAUGUGUCUAUCUAUUUCUGAUUUUUACGAUAAGAAAAGCUUGGAUGUAUCUUCACAUCCUAAAUGCAAGGGUAACUCUAAGUUGGACUCGUUUUAUGUCAAGAAUAUACCUCAGCAAAUAGAAGGAGCUUGGAUUGUGAAGUACAUGUUGUUGCUUAUGUCGAGCAUAUCAGUAAUGUAAAUGUUGGUUCAUAAUCAUUUAAUGUUGAGUUAAUGCGUACAAGAUAUGUGACAAUGUUGUGAAAUUAUGGCAUGCAGAAGAUUGUAACCGAUGCUACAAGUGAUAGUGAAGCACCAGAGAGGCCACACGGGAUUAAGAGAGAAUGUGAAAGUAGUGAAAGGAUCAUAAUUCAUUAGAACAACAGUAAUAUUUUAUGUGUUUUGUAAAUAUUUGAAUGACAUUCGUAACAAUAGUUCUACUUUUUAUAUUUUUGGUAUAUUUGAAUGGCAUUUGUUUCAUCUUUUAAA